CAGGACAUGGCCUUACAUUUCCUUGGUUUCUUGAUGAUUUCUUAGGUUUAGUGUUUGACACUGUUAGGAUUCUGGAUAAAAUCAGCCCUUCUGGGAAGUGUGUAAGUCAAACAAGGACUUUCUGGUGGCGUUAUACAGGUUUCCCAUGCCCCAUGAGUACAGGAAUAGCUCCCUGGGGAAGGAGAAUGGGCACAUGAUGGCAGGGAGCCAUUCUUGGAUGGUCCCAUCGUUCUGUAGAAAUUGUCGUGCAGGAAGAAGAAGCACGUGGCGACUGAGCUGGUAGUGAUUCUGCUGAUAGUUUUGAUCGUUAUGAUUUGCUCCUGAAAGGUGAUGUGGGAUGAACUGCAAUAUUUAGAAUGCUGACAUUCCUUGAAACAAAGAUAUAGAAAAAGGCUUAUAAUUGCAUGAUGCCUUGUAGUUUUCAGCUGCUCUCAUGUGGAUCCUUUUUCGUCCUUCCGAAAUGCUUUCUCAGGAGAGAGCGUUGUUCUUCAUGUAUAGAUGAGGAGCCUGGGUUUCAAAUGGUUAGGAAUUCAGCGCACGCAUUGGAAUCUUUAGUUUCCUGGAACAUUUUCUGUUCAAGUAUAGACCACAUGGCCUCUAAAGGCUGGCUCAUUCUUAACACCGCGAUUGGGGAUCCAGCCUCACAUCUGGAGUGGGUGGCAGGAACUCCACAGCCAUCCUGGGUGCUCUGGGGUGGGGUGGCUGAGCUGUGGCAGCCCCUCCCAGCUGAGCAGCAAGGCUGGGGAAAGCUCAUUCCAUUCCCCUUGGUUCUAACCAGGUAGAGGCUUACACUGCACAUUUCCUUAGCUGGGAACCUUUAGAACUUUACAUUUAAAUCUAAUCUGUGAUCCAGGGGGUAGACACAUGGGUAUUCACUGUACAAUUCCUACAUUUUUUGUAUAUUUAAAAUUUUUUUUUGUAUGUGUCAUGGACGACAAAAGAAAUGAGACCCCUUUGAGUUAGCUUUUCUGUAUAGCAUCUUCUAGAAUCAGGAGGCUGGACAGGGUUUAGUUUCAUCAGAAAUCUGAAUCUUUCUGGUCAAGAGACGGCACUAUUAAGUUCUUGGUUGUGUGGUUUCUGGGAAAGAAAUAUUCUAAAUGAGUUCCAGGAAUCACCUCUGUGGGAUUUCUACAGGAAAAAUGACCACUCUUGAAGCUUCGCUGUCACUAACAAGAAUAAUGGUGACGGUUUCUAAGCUGUCUCCAGCCAAUCUUUAGUUCUUUUAUGCAGAGUGCUUUUAUUCCAAGUGAAGUGCCCUUCUGUUUAAUAGUGACCUCCAGUUAUUACAGGGAUUGCAGCUGCAUUUGAUGGACGUGAACCUGCUCAUCUCUUGCUCCCCAGCUUCGCCUCUGGGGUGCAUGGCAGGAGCUCCACAGCCAUCCUGAGUGCUCUGGGGGUGGGAAGUCUCUAGGGGGAGUGGACAGUGCAUGGCCGGGACUUUCCCGUCCGACGUUCCACACUGGUGUGUGGGCGUCUCUGCCCUGUUUCCUCCGUCCAUGCAUCUGUGGCCUGUUUUCUCCGUGUGUGCCUCUGUGGCACGUUUCCUCCGUCCAUGCGUCUGUGAUGUUUCUUCUGUCCGUGCGUCAGUGGCGUUUCUUUCGUCCCUGCGUCUGUGGCACUUUUCCUCCCUCCGUGUGUCUGUGGCUUUUCUUCCCUCCGUGCGUCUGUGGUGUUUCCUCCGUCCGUGCGUCUGUGGUGUUUUCUCCGUCUGUGGAUCUGUGGCGUUUCCUCUGUGAGUCUGUGGCCUGUUUUCUCCGUCCACGCGGAAGGCCGUCGCUUCUCUCUAGUCACCACUUACUGAUCGCUCCCUGUGUGCUGAGCCUGUGUCAGGCAUGUGGCGUGUGUCACCUGUGUGGCAGGGUUUUGCGUGACACACAGGGACACACGCUUGGGGAGCUGCAGUGAUGGGGUCAUAGCCACGCAGCUCAGCCCUCGGUCUGAGGGUCUUGGUGCCCACCCAGCUCUUCCCGAAGCAGCCUCGGGGCAGAUCCCAGCUCUGCUUUCUCUCCUCGAGGUACCUCAUGAAGUAAACUAAGCAAAUCGAAAGUAGGAAACAGUUGUGAAAUGAGGCCUUGUUUCAGGUGUGUGUGGUCAUUUCUCUUUACAUGUUUACUUCACAUACCCCAAAUGAUAUACUUUCCAGCUGGUAUAACAAUUAAUUACCAGCCAUUACUGGUACAAAAUUCCAUGAAGGAUAUUUGAGGAGGGCAUAGUCUCAAAAACAUGCUUGAUUUUCACAGUUGUGAUUUGCAUGAUAAAGCUGUCAGGACUGUGACUUUGUUAUAUUAUUUUUAUUUUUAGACCCUUGGGAGGAAGUUAUUUAGUGAUUACUUAUAAUUGUGAAAAUAAUGUAAUGAUUACAGAAUCUCAUUAGAAUAAAUAUUAUAUUUUCUGUUCCUUAUGUCAAUGAAAUCAUCUUAAUCCAGGCCGAUGUUGGCAGGAAUUGUCACGUUUAAAAUGGGCCACACCUGGGACGUUGGAGUUCAGGCUGUCCUCGAAACCGUUUGCUCCUCUCUGAAGAGCGCCCCCCUUGACUGGCCGUGAGCAGCUGGAGUGGAUUGCAGGGAAGGGAGGAACCCACCUUCAAGCCCUGGCAGAUGAAGACUCACUUCCUGAUGCACUUCCCGGUGAAUUAUGUGGGCGAAUGCAUCCGAACUGUCCCCUACACGGACCCAGAUCAUGCCAGGUAGGAGGGUGGAGGUCGGGAUCUCUCAGGCCUGAGCCUUACAGAAGCAACUUGUCAAGCCUGUUCGAGUUCACAGGGCAUGUUUUAGCACAGGAAGAGUCUGCACUGACUCUGAGUGUUGGACCUGGGGCUUUGUGAGUCUACGAGCAGCCCUCUUUAAACAGCAGAGUCUUUAUGAACAAAGGCCCUAACCACAAACUCCUUUCAAAAUGCCCCAUGUACUCCCCUCAUCUCUAGGUGGAAAUUGAAUGAAUUUAGGUUGAGACUUCUGAUAAACAUGGUAGAUUAAGCCUUCGUGAGGACAGAUGCAUGGAACGACAGCAAAGGUAGAUCAAGACACAAAGCCACAAGGGAGAGUGGGAGGUGACCCAGGCAGCCAUGGGGGCUGCAGGAGAACCUCAUGAGCCAGACUGUGGGUGGGUGGGUGGGGGGUGCCUGACCCGGGGCCACAGAGGGACAGGGCAGUGGGGAGAAACCAGGUGGUCCUGCAGAGCCCUGCAGAUGGCAGGGCUGGAGGCUGCCUCACAGUCCCUCUGAGGAGUUUGCCUCCCCUGUCUCCCCACCAAGUCAGAAGCUCAGGGAAGGAGGCCCGGGGUUGAGCGGCCGAAGCCACGGCCGAGAGUGAGGGUCAGGCCUGUUCCCAAAGUGGCGUGGGGCGAGGGAGUUUGCAGCCUACGAACUGGCCCUCCAGCCCUUUCUUCCAAAGUGUGGCUGCCCCUCGGCUGUGUUCAUCCCAUCUGUGGAAACUGGCCAGACCAGGAGGACAGACUCACAGACAUACACUUUUGGGGACCUGUCAGUUGGGUGUGGAUGACACA